AGAUAUUCCAGCGGUCUUGUCUGCGCCUUGGUUCCUGAUCUCAUUUCCAGGAGCCCGACGGGGACCGUUGAUCUGUGAGAGUUCCGGGUCCCCAGGACUGGUGGCUAAGUGCUUUGGUGGUGGGAUUCAGCCACCAUUUGUUCUCCCUGGGUUCUCAAGUGCCCUUCCCAUGCGCUUUGGGUCCUGGCGCUCUCUUCCAUUGGUGGCCUCUUUUCUUUUUUUAACUUCUGAUUCCUGUUAAACUCCCCCUUUAGGUCUUCCUGCUUCUGCUGCAUAGUCCAGCUUUUGUCCCUUGUCAUUUUAUUGUUCUUUUCCUGAGGUCGCCACUCCCAAGCCACCGCGACUUUCCUCAAAAAAUCCCUUUUUAUCCUUCGCCCAUUGGAAACUCUACUUCUGCUCUUUCUAACAUCUUCCAGACUGGAAACUUGUCCUAAUCCAAGGUCCCCACUGAAGCAUGGAUCCUUAGUUCCCAGUCACGGUGCGGGUCCCCACGCUGCUCUAGGUAGGAAGAGCGCCCCGCCCCGCCCA
rnacentral:lncRNA from 1 species